GAAACCAAGCCUCCUGAAUCCCAAGCCUCGUGAAUCUCAUUCCAACAUUGUUUUAAUCCAAUCUCAGAAUGUCAAAGGUACCUUCAAGAGAAAACAGCGAUUCAAGGAGGGGCUCAGGACCAAGGAGAAGAAUCCAAGGAUCGGAGAGUACAGUGCCUAACAAGCAAUGGAGUACUCUUGCCGAGGGAUUCUGGCAGGAAGCGACUUUGAUAGACUCUUAGAAGAGGUGUCUUAGAGGAACACAGAUGCACAAAGAGGCAUGACCAAGGAUGUUCGCUGCUGCAACGCGUAUGUAGUAAGAUACUAUAAGCAACACAAAUGCCCGCCACUCAGAGAACGGUUGAGUAAAAUCGU